CACUGAGUUUUAUCAGUUUAUCAGUUUUUUCUUUCAUUCAUGUCUACUCUUUGUUCAUAUAUAGCUAACCUUGUUACUGUAUGUGUUACACAUAGAAAAGUUAGAUUUGAUGUUCAAAAAUAUUUAUGUAGCAACUUUCUGUAGAUCAAUGUGAUUUUGAACAUUUGACAUUGCUUAUGUCAUUCUUGUAAUUCAGUGUUUUUAAUAUAAAUACAAAAUGUGUGUACAUUUAAAAAAAUCAUUUGAUUCAGUUACUUUCUGAUUAUAAACAGCAAUAUAUUUUAACUUGUAGUCAGACAAUGUGUAUUUAAAAUUAAAUCUGAACAGUCUAAAAAAGAUGAGAUGAAUAUCUCAUAUACACAAAAUGCAAUGUUAGGAUAUAAAAACUACCGGAAUUAAAGCAAUCAGUGUCUUAAUAUGUUUACUUUCAUUUAGGAGGUUUGCUUUAAAUGUGUAUACUGAUUUUGUAGCUUGUAUAGUGAUAAAAAAUAUAUCAGCUGUAGUGAUUUUGAAUGAGAUGAAUGUUGAGAUUGGUGUGAUUUUGAAUGCACUGCUCAUGUCUGCUGCUGAAAGUCCUGUUGAAAUGCUGUGAAUGCUGCAGGGCAGAAGAGUGCUGGAGCUGCAGUGUGUUUUCUCUGUGUUUGUGAAUGUGUUGUGUUUGUCUCCUGCAGCUGGUCCCACAGUGAAGCCCUCAGUGUCUCUGCUGCCGCCCUCUUCUCUGCAGAUCUCUGGAGACUCAGCCGCACUGCUCUGCCUGCUCAGCUCUUACUCUCCACAGGGGGCGCUGGUGAGCUGGACACUGGACGGCUCAGAGGUCACCGAGGGGGUUGUGACCAGCGCAGAGAGCGAGCAGGACGGCCGCUACAGCCGCAGUAGUGUCCUGACCCUCAGCAAAGCACGCUGGGAAGCGGGAGAGCAGUACGUCUGCAGAGUAACACAUGAUGGAGCUCCUCAUGAGGCCUCGUUCCACAAGAGUCGCUGUUAGUCGCUCGCACUGCUGAUGUUUCUCAAGUGAGCGCUGCUCUCUCCUGAAGAUGAGCGUAUCUGAGUGUCCUGUGUCAGGCAGGAUUCACAUGAGUCUAGUGCUGCAGCUGUAGUCAUU